AGAUGGUGAAAUAAAUCCUGGGAGGUUCAUUUAAAAACUCAUUAUUUUGGGAUUACAGCCAAGCACAUCCUGUACAAUAUCGAGGAUAAUAUUCUAAUGUAGACAGUUUGUGGGGGUGUGUGUGGCUGUGGAAGACUGCCGUGACCACAUGUUCCAGAGCAGCCUUUAUAAGGGUCAUCCCAGGUGAGGCUUUGGCUUGAGAGGAAAGUAGAAUGCAAGUGGUGAUCACUGAGCAUCUAAAAGGAGGACGUGCAGGGAUGAGACCCAUGGACCACAGUGUGCUGAAAUGUUGUCUCUUCUCUCUACUCUUGCUAACAGUGUCUGCAGCAGACCCUCCAUCCAAUGCAGCCAUUUUAGCUAGUGAAAUGACUCCAGACAAUGCAUCCAAUACAGCCAAUGCAGGCCAACCAC